rnacentral:rRNA from 1 species
CAUUGCCUACGGGGGGCAGCAGUGAGGAAUAUUGGUCAAUGGGCGGGAGCCUGAACCAGCCACGUCGCAUGAGGGACGACGGUCCUAUGGAUUGUAAACCUCUUUUGUCGGGGAACAAAGGCGCCCACGGGUGGGCGGAUGAGUGUACCCGAAGAAAAAGCAUCGGCUAACUCCGUGCCAGCAGCCGCGGUAAUACGGAGGAUGCGAGCGUUAUCCGGAUUUAUUGGGUUUAAAGGGUGCGUAGGCGGACAGUAAAGUCAGCGGUAAAAAUGCGGGGCUCAACGCCGGACAGCCGUUGAAACUGG